rnacentral:rRNA from 1 species
UGGGGAAUAUUGCACAAUGGGCGCAAGCCUGAUGCAGCGACGCCGCGUGAGGGAUGAAGGCCUUCGGGUUGUAAACCUCUUUCGUCAGGGAACAAGGCACUACGUUUUGGUGGUGUUGAGGGUACCUGGAUAAGAAGCGCCGGCUAACUACGUGCCAGCAGCCGCGGUAAUACGUAGGGCGCAAGCGUUGUCCGGAAUUAUUGGGCGUAAAGAGCUCGUAGGCGGCUGGUCGCGUCUGUCGUGAAAACUUCCGGCUCAACCGGGGGCUUGCGGUGGGUACGGGCCGGCUAGAGUGCGGUAGGGGUAACUGGAACUCCUGGUGUAGCGGUGGAAUGCGCAGAUAUCAGGAAGAACACCGAUGGCGAAGGCAGGUUACUGGGCCGUUACUGACGCUGAGGAGCGAAAGCGUGGGGAGCGAACAGGAUUAGAUACCCUGGUAGUCCACGCUGUAAACGUUGGGCACUAGGUGUGAGGCUCCUUUCCGGGGGUUUUGCGCCGUAGCUAACGCAUUAAGUGCCCCGCCUGGGGAGUACGGCCGCAAGGCU